CUUCGGGCUCCGUGCGACGGCUCGCCUGCGAACCCCGCCAGGCCCGGAAGGGAGCAACGGUAGUAGGACGAGUCGGGUGCUGCGGAUGCUCCCGAAGCCU
rnacentral:SRP_RNA from 1 species